GACAGAGGGUGCAAACGUUGUUCGGAUUUACUGGGCGUAAAGCGCGUGUAGGCGGCCAUCUAAGUCGGGCGUGAAAUCCCACGGCUCAACCGUGGAAGUGCACUCGAAACUGGAUGGCUAGAGUCCUGGAGAGGAAGGUGGAAUGCUUGGUGUAGAGGUGAAAUUCGUAGAUAUCAAGCGGAACACCGGUGGCGAAGGCGGCCUUCUGGACAGUGACUGACGCUGAGACGCGAAAGCGGUGGGGAGCAAACAGG
rnacentral:rRNA from 1 species